rnacentral:sRNA from 1 species
GCUGGGCGUGGUGAUGGGCACCUGUAAUCCCAGAUACUUGGGAGGCUGAGGCAGGAGAAUUGCUUGAACCUGGGGAGGUGGAGGUUGCAGUGAGCUGAGGUCAUGCCACUGCACUCCAGCCUAGGUGACAUAGCAAGACUCUGUCUCAA